CCCUGAGCCUGUCGCUUUCUCAGUUCUGGGCUUGGGCCCCUCACGGGAGCGGCCCUGCUGGGACAGUGUUUUCCCAGGAGGCCCCGAGCCCUUGCCCUGGCAGCUCCAUGACACCCCAUGCAGACUCCAACAGGGGCUUUGAGCCUCUUCCUGCUGGGGUCCCACGGAUGGUGCAGGCAGAGGCCCGAGCACUCCUGGUGGCCCUGUGUGGCCCACGUCGCUCAGUAUCUUUCCUCGCCUUGCAGAGGGGUGUGAAGCACAAGGCUCCAGUCCAGGCCGCACAGAGCAGCGACGGGCCCCUCCUGAAGGACCUCCUACGGCGGCCAAGGCGCAGUUAGCUCCACGCUAGAGCCCAGGCUACCAGAGCACCUGUCCCUCGGCCGCCUGGUACAGCUCCCACUCUCAGCAGGUGACACUCGCGGCCUGGAAGGAGAAGGUGUCCACGGAGCCCCCACCCACCCUCGGCGGUUCCCGUCACCACUGCAGUUCCAUCCCAAGUCACAGCUGCCCUAGGUCCCGUGUGGGAAUGCUCGUGUGAUGGAUGGUCCUAAGCCUGUGGAGACUGUGCACGUGCCUCUUCCUGGCCCCCAGCAGGCAAGGAGGGGGGUCACAAGCCUUGCC
rnacentral:sRNA from 1 species